rnacentral:rRNA from 1 species
UAGGGAAUCUUCGGCAAUGGGGGGAACCCUGACCGAGCAACGCCGCGUGAGUGAAGAAGGUUUUCGGAUCGUAAAGCUCUGUUGUUAAGGAAGAACGAGUGUGAGAAUGGAAAGUUCAUACUGUGACGGUACUUAACCAGAAAGGGACGGCUAACUACGUGCCAGCAGCCGCGGUAAUACGUAGGUCCCGAGCGUUGUCCGGAUUUAUUGGGCGUAAAGCGAGCGCAGGCGGUUAGAUACGUCUGAAGUUAAAGGCAGUGGCUCAACCAUUGUAGGCUUUGGAAACUGUUUAACUUGAGUGCAGAAGGGGAGAGUGAAAUUCCCUGUGUAGGGGUGAAAUGCGUAGAUAUAUGGAGGAACACCGGUGGCGAAAGCGGCUCUCUGGUCUGUAACUGACGCUGAGGCUCGAAAGCGUGGGGAGCGAACAGG